UCUGGAUAUUAGAUGCUUCUUCGUAUGUAUGUUAUUUUCAAUUUUAUGAUCUGUGAUGGUUUAAUGUCGUGGAAAUUAACUCGAAUGUUGCUCCUUUGGGCUUGGACUGUGUGUUAUCUUUUUCUAAGUUUGUAUAAUUUUAUUUUAUUUUUGGGAAAACUCAUAUUGUUUUGAACUUUUAAUUUAGUUUAUGAGGUUAAAAGCUAGUGGUGAAACAUUAAAGGUAAAUGUUGAUGAAGGCAAACUUGUGACGCUUAAAAAGGCUAAACUUGGAACUGAGACAGACGAGACUGUUUUUCUGAAAGUCAUGGUGGUGUCACACAGCUUGUAGCUGCAAGGCUGAACCUUCCUAGCUGGCCCCACAAAGCAUUGGAUAUCAUCUUUGACAAAGACUUCCAAUUCUCUCACACCUUUAUGCAAUCACAUCUCAACAAACAAGUUUUUAUCCAUAUCCAUAUCCUUUUCUCAAACAUAAUAGUGAUAUUUUCCGAACUUAGAAUCACUAGGUUUAUAUUGUUUUAUUAUUGAAGUUUGGUGUUGUUGACCCCUUGACCAAUCUGCAUGUGUGCUCUGUGAUCACUGUAUGUAAAAGUGAUACAAGUGAUGAUGAUGAAGACAAAAAGACGCCGGAGAAGGAAGAAGGAAAGGUGGAAGGUGCAAGUCCGGCUUGUUCUGGACGUGCACAUGUUUGUGAGUUCUGCAAGAGGGAAUUCCUUGACAAGUGAGGUUGAGUAUAUUGAAGAGUGAUUGAGGGUAGUAGUUUGUAAAAUAUCAUGCAUGGUCUUAUGUAGGUUUAUGGUUAGUAUGAAAAAGACAUCAAUCAUAUAUCAGUCUCUUUAUUUAUGUCCGAUGAUGACAAUUAUGGAUUGUUAUGCUAUGAUUUUAUUGUAUUUUUACAAAAAUAUCUAUCAUAUAUUGCUCAUGAAAUGUAAGUACA